UAGUAACUAAGACAACCCCUAAGGCAGACAAAUACCUUUGAGGGAUUUUUUUUACACUAAAUACCACAGACUCCUCUCUCCUUUUUCUAGCUAAAAAUUUGUGAUGGAACCAUUUCUGCAUACUCUGUCUUCUGCCUCAACCUUUCAACCCUGUACUCUCAACUUCUUGAACUCGACAUACCCAAAAGUGUGUGUCAUCUUUCUUUUAAAAACUGUGACCUUGAAUUGAGCAUGCUCAGAAAUGAAUUACACGACUGAGCAUGCUCAGGAAUGAAUUACACGACUGAGCAUGCUCAGAAAUGAAUUACACGACUGAGCAUGCUCAGGAAUGAAUUACACGACUGAGCAUGCUCAGGAAUGUCCCCACACGUGACGCUGUUCCUUGUAUGUGUGUAGGCUGUCAGAGUCAGCACCUGUGCCUUCUUUGCUUAACCGGGGCAUUGUCUGGACACAUCUCCUGAGCUCUCCUAACCUGUCUGCUUCAGGUGAGGCUUCAGGCGGCAGAGGGAGACCGUCUUCCCCAGGCAGCCAGAAAGAGGCCAUCUUUCCCACUGAGUGAAGCCUGAGCAUAGGAAGCCUCAAAGCCGACCUACAGUGACACACUUCCUUCAACAAGGCCACACCUCCUCCAAUAAGGUCACAUCUCCUAAUAAUGCCACUCCCCAUGGGCCAAGCAUUCAAACACUUGAGUGUAUAGAGGCCAAACCUAUUCAGGCCACCACAUACAUGUAUGCAAUACAUUGUGAUUACUCUCACCUCCCCAACAUCUCUUGUUUCCCUUACCUCCAUCAGUUUCUCCUCCUCCCUAACAACUCCAUUUCUUAUACAUGCCUUUUGUUAUUUUUGGUGAACCACUGAGUUUAACCAGACCCAUCUAUGUGACUGUGACUGUUGAACCGUCCAUUGGAGCCUGGUGAGUUCACACAACUGAAGACAACAAAUGCCAUACCCCAGAACACACCAGGAACCAUUAGUUCAGGUUCUUUGACUUCUUCCAACCCCACGAGGAACUACUUCCACUUGCCAUUAACGUCAACAUUCCUUUACACCAUGUACAUCUCAGCGUCUUUACUCCUCCCUUGAUAUCUUUGUUCCCCUUGAAAAAAAUCAUGUGUUCAAUUUUAAAUGUUAUGUUUUUAUACUUUUUAAUGAAUGUUGUCUUUUAACACUUAAGCUCCCCAGUGGGACGUGGGGUAACAGUUCCCUCAUUUUAUUCCAUCCGUAUAGUUUUAAGAUUACAUGAGUCGACAGGGCUGAUUCUUAAGGGCUUAUUCUUACUUAAGUUUGUGUUCUUAAUACAUUAAAAGAAUAAUUGUCCUC